rnacentral:rRNA from 1 species
GAUGAACGCUAGCGGCAGGCUUAACACAUGCAAGUCGAGGGGCAGCGGGGUCUUCGGACCGCCGGCGACCGGCGCACGGGUGCGUAACGCGUAUGCAACCUACCUAUAACAGGGGGAUAAUCUGGAGAAAUCUGGUCUAAUACCCCAUAACACUUAGAACGGCAUCGUUUAGAGUUGAAAUUUUCGGAGGUUAUGGAUGGGCAUGCGUGACAUUAGCUAGUUGGUAAGGUAACGGCUUACCAAGGCAACGAUGUCUAGGGGGACUGAGAGGUUAACCCCCCACACUGGUACUGAGACACGGACCAGACUCCUACGGGAGGCAGCAGUGAGGAAUAUUGGUCAAUGGACGGAAGUCUGAACCAGCCAUGCCGCGUGCAGGAUGACGGCUCUAUGAGUUGUAAACUGCUUUUGUACGAGGGUAAAGUCAGUUACGUGUAACUGUUUGAAAGUAUCGUACGAAUAAGGAUCGGCUAACUCCGUGCCAGCCGCCGCAGUAAAAC